AGGACGAACGCUGGCGGCGUGCUUAACACAUGCAAGUCGAGCGGAAAGGCCUUUCGGGGUACUCGAGCGGCGAACGGGUGAGUAACACGUGAGUAAUCUGCCCAUCGCUUCAGGAUAGCCAUCGGAAACGGUGAUUAAUACUGGAUAUGACAUUCCUUCGCAUGUUGGGGUGUGGAAAGUUUUUUCGGCGGUGGAUGUGCUCGCGGCCUAUCAGCUUGUUGGUGGGGUAAUGGCCUACCAAGGCUUUGACGGGUAGCCGGCUGAGAGGGUGACCGGCCACACUGGGACUGAGACACGGCCCAGACUCCUACGGGAGCAGCAGUGGGGAAUA
rnacentral:rRNA from 1 species